rnacentral:rRNA from 1 species
CGUAGGGUGCAAGCGUUAAUCGGAAUUACUGGGCGUAAAGCGUGCGCAAGCGGUUUUGUAAGACAGGCGUGAAAUCCCCGGGCUCAACCUGGGAAUGGCGCUUGUGACUGCAAAGCUGGAGUGCGGCAGAGGGGGAUGGAAUUCCGCGUGUAGCAGUGAAAUGCGUAGAUAUGCGGAGGAACACCGAUGGCGAAGGCAAUCCCCUGGGCCUGCACUGACGCUCCUGCACGAAAGCGUGGGGAGCAAACAGGAUUAGAUACCCUGGUAGUCCACGCCCUAAACGAUGUCAACUGGUUGUUGGGUCUCUUCUGACUCAGUAACGAAGCUAACGCGUGAAGUUGACCGCCUGGGGAGUACGGCCGCAAGGUUG